UCCCGGGGUGUUGCGGGGUCCCGGGGUGCGGCUGUGGUUCCAUCAGCCCUGUGCUCUCGCCCUCGGCCAAGCAGAAAAAGGGCUCGAACGGCACCGAAACACAAUCGGGGCUCUCCAGAGUGCCCAGGCAAUUUGCACACAACAGGGAGCGAGAGGGAAGGAAGAAAGCAUCAAUAACCACGGCUGACUUUCCUGGGCGCUCCCGAGCAUGCAGGAGGAUCACACUGGAGCAGAGUCAGAACCUGAAGGCACUCAGGUCUAUUUUGGAAAUGCUGAAGCAUUUGGGGGAGUUGAUAAUUUUUCCCUCCACAUCACCUUGGCCAGAGCCUUUUGCCACAUUCAGUCUCAGCAGCGUUGAUCCUCCACAGAGCCAGUGGGGAGCUCAUUUGCCAGGUGUUUGGAAAAACACCCAGUCGCCCACACCUUCAGCCACCAGCUGCUUUCCAGAGUGCACCUCGUCUCUGUCCCCGGUUCCUUGUAAUCUAUUCUGGGAAAAGCUGCCAGCUGCAUCCCCAGGGGUUUGGGCAGGACAGUACUCGGGAGCUGGGCAUCCCACGGGAGAAACCCGUGGCUGUGAUUCUCCCGGCGCAGACAAAGAGGAGCAGCAGGCAGGUGCUCCAUGGAGACAGCCGCCCCGGAGCGCUCCCGCACGCAGGGAAUUGAAUGGAGCUGUUUGUUUCCCAGGAAUUGCCGGUGUCAGGUGGCAUUUGAGGGGCUGCUGUCGAGCUCUCCUUUAGUGGCAGCCCUGCAUUAGUUUCCAUUAACUAUUCAGGGAAAAGGAGAGAUCCCAUCAGGAGGGAGAGAUGAAAUCCCAGUGGAAAACCCAAGACACCGCAUUGCCCCUCUGGCAAAGGGCAGUGCCAAGCAUCCCUGGGAGCACCACCAAAGACAAAACCAAGAUAUUCAACAGCAACUCAAGAAGAGAGAAACCUCCCUGCAUCCCUUUCUCCUCCCUCAUUCAUCACCCUCCCAUCUGGAGAGGGGUUUUAUUUUGGCCAUCAAUUUAUUUCCAAUCUGAGGCUGGAGCACAAACCCACCAAAGAUGCCGGGGCUGGGAAUAGAUGGAGGAGCCACAGUGGUUCAUAAAAAACUCCUGUCAAAGACCAUGGGACACGAGAUCUGCUGGAGAGAGCCUGCAGGCCACCAGCAGCAAACAUCCCUCCUCCUCCUCCUCCUCCUCCUCCCCCCGGUGCCAUCGCCGGGGCCUUUCAGCAAUGGAGAUUUAUUUAUUUGCCUUCCAGAUCGCCCCGGCUCACCUUGGGAAGGCAACAAAAGCUUGCAGCAACAAUUUAUAGGGAGAUAAGGUGGAGGGGCUGGCAGGGAGGGCCCGGCGUGGGGAGCUGCAUUUCUCGGGGAGCCGUACCCUUGCCGGUAAGGUCACGUUGCAGCCGUAGAUGUUCUCUGGAACAACAAUUACUCUAGAUAAGAAAAAUCUAACUGGAUAAAGGGACAGCUAAUCAGGAGACUACAAGCCCCCGAAUUGCUCAAGGAAUCCUUAUUGAUCUGAACAAGAUAUCAAAUGUAAAAUAAAGGAUUUUGCUAACUCCA